ensembl:lncRNA
GUUGUUUCAGGGCUUUCUGACAGGCUGAAGAUUGAUCCUCUCCACUCUGUUUCCUGAUUCGGAAGAGAUUAUGGGUCUGGAAUCUGCAGUGCCUCUGGGUCACUUGGUAAUUUAAAAUUGAUGACUUGGAAAGAGAAUGGAGAUAAAGAUGUUGUCCUGGGAUGUGUCCUUUUAUAGAGAGCAUUUGAGGACCUUCACCUGUGCAUGUCUGAACCAGAAUGUUGAGUGUCUGGGUGCUGAGCAACGGACAUGGCGCUGACAAGGAGUCGGCAGCAGGGCCCACCUAACCGGAUAAUUGGGAAUGAAGAUUAUUUUUUUCGAUCUCUCUCUUUUUAUAUAACAAAAAGAAGAGAAGAGAACCUUUACAAAACAAAUGCAGGAGUAUUCAAGAAGGCAGAUGCCAGAUUCAGAAAAGAGGUUCGGGGGGCCAAGUCUCUUCGGGGGGGCCCUCUUCUGAUGGACAUGGGGCGGGGAAAGGGUGGGGGGCCAAGUUUCAAUGGGCCCUGGACUCAUUUUCACCCGAAAACCUGAUUGAGGCCUGCCCCGAAGGAACCUGGCUGCAGAUGUAGAGGGGGAGGAGUUUUAAGCAGGCAUACAAACCUUCUGGAAGCUCCUUGAUGCCUUCUGCUUCCCCACGUUUUGAUUUUUCAGGUUAUUUUAAGGUUUUCAUACCUCGGGCAAGGUGAUUUAUGAUUAUUGGGACUUUAUAUAAGUCUUUAUUUUUGCAAAGUGCUUUACAGUCAUUUUUCUCUCCCUAUUGUG